GACGAACGCUGGCGGCGUGCUUAACACAUGCAAGUCGAACGGAAAGGCCCUGCUUUUGUGGGGUGCUCGAGUGGCGAACGGGUGAGUAACACGUGAGUAACCUGCCCUUGACUUUGGGAUAACUUCAGGAAACUGGGGCUAAUACCGGAUAGGAGCUCCUGCUGCAUGGUGGGGGUUGGAAAGUUUCGGCGGUUGGGGAUGGACUCGCGGCUUAUCAGCUUGUUGGUGGGGUAGUGGCUUACCAAGGCUUUGACGGGUAGCCGGCCUGAGAGGGUGACCGGACACAUUGGGACUGAGAAACGGCCCAGACUACUACGGGAGGAAGCAGUGGGGAAUAUUGCACAAUGGGAGGAAGCAUGAUGCAGCAAGGCAGCGUGCGGGAUGACGGCCUUCGGGUUGUAAAAAGCUUUCGAAUGUGACGAAGCGUGAGUGACGGUAAUGGGUAAAGAAGCACCGGCUAACUACGUG
rnacentral:rRNA from 1 species